CAUCAAAUUUUAAUUAGUUGAAAAAAUUUUAACAGGACUCCCACACAGUAAAUUCUGCCCCUAUCCUUACAAACAUUUCUUGAUUUUGUAAUAUGUAUUUUUUUACAUCUUGUUUCCUUUUUAGUAUCUUCUAAAUAGGAAAAUAAUUUGAGGUUAUUUUUUUUUUGGGAAAUUUAGGAAAAUAAUUUGAGGUUAUUUCCCUUUUGGGAAAUUUUCCUUCCAGAUCACCUUUUUCUUCACUCUAAGUCAUAUGCUUACAGGUAAAUCACCCUAUCUCAGUCUAAGAUGUGCAGCUCAAGAUGGUUUCAACAGGAGACAGAGAACACAGUUGUACAAGAGAGGCUCUGGAAGUGAUGGCGGACAGAAGGGCCUCACGAAGAGGAUGCUGCAGAAACGCCCCACGAGACCAGCACAGAGCCUGGCACUUAAAAGAACAUUCAAGAAAUAUUUGUCACAUGAAAGAAUGGAUAAUAUCCCCAAGUCCAUACUAGCAGUAAAUAAAGCAGCAAACUUCACAGAA